AAUUUCCUUAUUAUUCAAUGGGACGAAGAUAUAUAUAAUGAUCUUUGUCCAACGAAAUAACCAUUUAAAUGGGUGGACUAGAUGUGUGUUUGAGCAUAGAAAAAAAUGAAAAAUAAUGAUAAGCGAUAAGCAUCUAAUACUAGGCCAUAAUACAAGAUUUAUGUGAGGUGUCUUCUUCACAAAGUGGAUAAACUAUUAAUGGAAAAAUAUGCUUAAAGAAAGCUCUAUUAUUAGAAAGAGAGAGAGAGAGGGUUGGCCGGUUGGGGGUCACAAUUCUGACCUCCUAGGACUAGGAAAGCAACAUUAUGAUACCUUUCAAUGAUCUAUCAAAAUAUCAUGAAUGUAGAACUUUGGACUGUUCUCUUCAUGCGGAUCACGAGGGCGAGGGUCAAAUCCCGCAACUUUCAUUGCCAAAAUAAUAAUAAUAAUAAUUCCCGCAACUUUCACAGUUUUACUGUGUGUGUUUAUUUAUUUGUUUUAAUAUAUAUAUAUACAGCAAGGAUCCAAGGAGGACGUCCGUGAGUUUGCAAAUGUGCGGAUGUGUUAAUCUCAGCCGUUCGCUAUUUUAAAUUAAAAGGGACGCUCACGAUUUGCUAUUCCAAAAACAAGCGCGGGUCGAGUAAAAACCCGACUCGUCAGUUUUAGAAUCAAGCGGGUUAAUGUUCUCUACCUCAAACCCGACUCUUCAGUCUCCAAGCAGUCCAUUGUCGAUGAAAAAUCUGAUUUUGGUCUCCUCAUCUGAAGUACUCCUCCCAUAAUCCAUGUCUUCCACAAUUGAUGCCUAAGCUCAUCUCACUUUGUAUGAUUUUCACCUCGAACUCAACUUUUCACCUCAAGCCCGAUUCCUUAGUCCUUAGCUCAAUCUCAAUUGUGAGUGACAUAACCAAACCCCACAGUCGUCGUCUCUAAUAAUCCACAAAUCACAGUCGUCAUCUCCAAAUCUGACUCCUCCCGUUGGUUUCUCAACCAAAAUUUUCUUCUUUUCCUCUCUCUUUGGAUCCCCACUGUGUUUAUGUAUAUAUUAGAAAGUGAUGGCCAAAAGUUGAGAGCUUUGGCGCCAAAAGUUGGAUACUUUGAAGCAUCGAUACUCAUCUACAUCUUUUAUCAAGUAUGGGUUCUCUCCUUCCUAUACAUUUGAUUUCCGAUUGCAAUAUUUAGGGUUUUUUUUCUUAUUUGGGACUUUUCUUCUUGUGCUUCUGUUUGUACUCUUUUUAUUUCCAUUGUUGAUGUCAUUGUGUUUUCAAAUAGAUUGAUAAGCAUUGUCUCACCUACAGUUCUAAUAUAUAUACUAGACCAAUAUUAAGCACGAGUGAUUUUUUGUUUUUGAUUGGUUUGGAAUUUUUU
rnacentral:lncRNA from 1 species